rfam:Asian citrus Psyllid, Diaphorina citri - Florida Strain, whole genome shotgun sequence.
GCCUAGGUAGCUUGAAAGGUAGCCCGUCUGCCUUGUAAGCGCUAGGUCGCGGGUUCGAUUCCCGCCCGGGGCG